GAUGAACGCUGGCGGCGUGCCUAAUACAUGCAAGUCGAGCGAACGGACGAGAAGCUUGCUUCUCUGAUGUUAGCGGCGGACGGGUGAGUAACACGUGGAUAACCUACCUAUAAGACUGGGAUAACUUCGGGAAACCGGAGCUAAUACCGGAUGAUAUUUUGAACCGCAUGGUUCAAAAGUGAAAGACGGUCUUGCUGUCACUUAUAGAUGGAUCCGCGCUGCAUUAGCUAGUUGGUAAGGUAACGGCUUACCAAGGCAACGAUGCAUAGCCGACCUGAGAGGCUGAUCGGCCACACUGGAACGGAGACACGGUCCAGACUCCUACGGGAGGCAGCAGUAGGGAAUCUUCCGCAAUGGGCGAGAGCCUGACGGAGCAACGCCGCGUGAGUGAUGAAGGUCUUCGGAUCGUAAAACUCUGUUAUUAGGGAAGAACAUAUGUGUAAGUAACUGUGCACAUCUUGACGGUACCUAAUCAGAAAGCCACGGCUAACUACGUG
rnacentral:rRNA from 1 species